UUGACAUUUUAAAUUUAAUUUACACAGGUUAUUAGUGAGCUGAAUGGAAAGAACAUUGAGGAUGUCAUUGCUCAGGGUAAUGGAAAACUUGCCAGCAUGCCUGCGGGAGGAGCUGUGGCCGUCUCUGCUGGCGGGGGCUCUGCUGCUCCUGCUGCAGGUGGUGCUGCCCCCGCUGCAGCUGAGGAGAAGAAAGAAGAGAAGAAAGAAGAAUCUGAAGAAUCUGAUGAUGACAUGGGAUUCGGCCUCUUUGAUUAAUUAUUUGUUAUAGAAAUACUAUUAAAUUUUGUUUGUUUUAAAAGGUUUUUGAGUUUAUUAGUAUAACCAUAAAGUACUAUUGGAUUCAGACAGCUUUCUUAAAAUAGCUCUGACAAAGCUUGGGUUUUUAGCUCUGUCUGAAAUAGAUAUGCUACUUUGAGUAAAUGAGGCCAUGGGAAUGAUUCUUUUAAAGCGCUUGGGUAUUGCUAAGCUUGUGUGAACCUGAAGGCUUGUUUUGAGACUCCUAUUUAUUAAAUGGUAUAUGGAAGUUGAA